rnacentral:misc_RNA from 1 species
UUUCCAUGGUGUGUUUAUGACAAACUGAUCCAGAUCAAGAGGAAAAAAAUACGUAUGAGAACGAUUAUCUCAUCUUUGGAAUGCCAGUUUAGUCAUGGACUGCAGUUGAGUUGACAAAUAUGUGGAGAUAAGUAUGGCAUAUGUAUUGAUUCUAUGACAGGAACUUGUAUAUAUCCGUAAUACAUAAUUUCAGUUUUCUAGGGAAUUAAUCGAUUUCACUU